AAUAGAUACCCAGGUAGUCCACGCCGUAAACGAUGAGUGCUAAGUGUUAGGGGGUUUCCGCCCCUUAGUGCUGCAGCUAACGCAUUAAGCACUCCGCCUGGGGAGUACGGUCGCAAGACUGAAACUCAAAGGAAUUGACGGGGGGCCCGCACAAGGGGUGGAGCAUGUGGUUUAAUUCAAAGCAACGCGAAGAACCUUACCAGGUCUUGACAUCCCACUGACCGCUAUGGAGACAUAGUUUUCCCUUCGGGGACAGUGGUGACAGGUGGUGCAUGGUUGUCGUCAGCUCGUGUCGUGAGAUGUUGGGUUAAGUCCCGCAACGAGCGCAACCCUUGAUCUUAGUUGCCAUCAUUUAGUUGGGCACUCUAAGGUGACUGCCGGUGACAAACCGGAGGAAGGUGGGGAUGGACGUCAAAUCAUCAUGCCCCUUAUGACCUGGGCUACACACGUGCUACAAUGGACGGUACAAACGGUUGCCAACCCGGCGAGGGGAGCUAAUCCGAUAAACCGUUCUCAGUUCGGAUUGUAGGCUGCAACUCGCCUAC
rnacentral:rRNA from 1 species